rnacentral:rRNA from 1 species
UUGCUCUUCAACGAGGAAUACCUAGUAAGCGUGAGUCAUCAGCUCGCGUUGAUUACGUCCCUGCCCUUUGUACACACCGCCCGUCGCUACUACCGAUUGAAUGGCUUAGUGAGGUCUCCGGAUUGGCUUUGGGGAACCGGCAACGGCGCCCUAUUGCUGAGAAGCUGAUCAAACUUGGUCAUUUAGAGGAAGUAAAAGUCGUAACAAGGUUUCCGUAGGUGAACCUGCGGAAGGAUCAUUAUUGAAUUAUGUUUUCUAGAUGGGUUGUAGCUGGCUCUUCGGAGUAUGUGCACGCCUGUCUGGACUUCAUUUUCAUCCACCUGUGCACCUUUUGUAGUCUUUUUCAGGUAUUGGAGGAAGUGGUCAGCCUAUCAGCUCUUUGCUGGAUGUAAGGACUUGCAGUGUGAAAACAGUGCUGUCCUUUACCUUGGCCAUGGAAUCUUUUUCCUGUUAGAGUCUAUGUUAUUCAUUAUACUCUUAGAAUGUCAUUGAAUGUCUUUACAUGGGCUAUGCCUAUGAAAAUUAUUAUACAACUUUCAGCAACGGAUCUCUUGGCUCUCGCAUCGAUGAAGAACGCAGCGAAAUGCGAUAAGUAAUGUGAAUUGCAGAAUUCAGUGAAUCAUCGAAUCUUUGAACGCAUCUUGCGCUCCUUGGUAUUCCGAGGAGCAUGCCUGUUUGAGUGUCAUUAUAUUCUCAACUCUCCAAUACUUUGUUGUAAAGGAGAGCUUGGAUUGUGGAGGUUUGCUGGCUCCUUACUUGGGGUCAGCUCCUCUGAAAUGCAUUAGCGGAAUCGUCUGCGAUCUGCCACAAGUGUGAUAACUUAUCUACACUGGCGAGGGGAUUGCUUUCUGAUGUUCAGCUUCUAAUCGUCUAAGGACAAUUUCUUGAAUGCUUGACCUCAAAUCAGGUAGGACUACCCGCUGAACUUAAGCAUAUCAAUAAGCGGAGGA